UACGUAGGGGGCAAGCGUUGUCCGGAAUCAUUGGGCGUAAAGAGCGCGUAGGCGGUCCGGUAAGUCCGCUGUGAAAGUCGGGGGCUCAACCCUCGAAUGCCGGUGGAUACUGCCGGGCUAGAGUCCGGAAGAGGCGAGUGGAAUUCCUGGUGUAGCGGUGAAAUGCGCAGAUAUCAGGAGGAACACCAAUGGCGAAGGCAGCUCGCUGGGACGGUACUGACGCUGAGGCGCGAAAGCCAGGGGAGCAAACGGG
rnacentral:rRNA from 1 species